rnacentral:rRNA from 1 species
UACAGAGGGUGCAAGCGUUAAUCGGAAUUACUGGGCGUAAAGCGUGCGUAGACGGUUACAUAAGUCGGGUGUGAAAGCCCCGGGCUCAACCUGGGAAUUGCAUUCGAGACUGCGUAGCUAGGGUGCGGAAGAGGGAAGCGGAAUUUCCGGUGUAGCGGUGAAAUGCGUAGAUAUCAGGAGGAACAUCCGUGGCGAAGGCGGCCACCUGGACCAGUACUGACACUGAGGCACGAAAGCGUGGGGAGCAAACAGG